rnacentral:rRNA from 1 species
CAGUAGCCACGGUAAUACGAAGGGUGCAAGCGUUAAUCGGAAUUACUGGGCGUAAAGCGUGCGUAGGCGGUGAGUUAAGUCUGCUGUGAAAUCCCCGGGCUCAACCUGGGAAUGGCAGUGGAUACUGGCUCGCUAGAGUGUGUCAGAGGAUGGUGGAAUUCCCGGUAUAGCGGUGAAAUGCGUAGAGAUCGGGAGGAACAUCAGUGGCGAAGGCGGCCAUCUGGGACAACACUGACGCUGAGGCACGAAAGCGUGGGGAGCAAACAGGAUUAGAUACCCCAGUAGUCCCUGUCUCUUAUAU